AGCUACAUACAUUUCAUCCCUUAAUGAAAUGAUGUUUUGCAGCUUAGCAACUUUGCCGCCAAUGCAAACGUGACUGUUUGCCUGAUCCAAUUUCAGAGUGUGUUGGCUUGUUCUCAACUCUUUAUAUUGUGAGUUUUUUUGCAGCAUCUUUGCAUUUCUGAGAGUCUUUUUAUUAUUUGACUCAGAGGGCAUGUUGGUUUCCUCAGAAGUCUUUUGAGUUUGUUUAGGUGAUUCUCAUACUUGAUGCGAAAAAGCAUGGUGUCCUUGACAACUUCAGUGCUUUCAUCUGCAAGAUGUACAAGACAGUGUGCAUUGUAGGACAAGAAUUGUGGACCAUACAGUUGACCAAAGUGAGAGACAACGAGCACCACCUACAAGUCAGAGGACCCAUCUUCAGCCACAAGAGAAGAAGCCGUCUCAUGAUGGUGCAUGUAGUCGAGGGGGAAACCAGAGACCAUGUUUAGGGAUGUUUCUUCAAGAGGUGAUGGACCAUGAUGAUGAUCAGCAUCUGUCUUAUUUCUGAAGCUCUCAUUAGUUCUUAAAGGCAUGUCAGUUCUUGGAAAUGUCAUUCUAUUUUCUAGGUACAAACCAUCCUGUGUGCAUUUUUCACAUCCGUGAUAGCCUGUGUGACCUUUAAAAUUUUUCAGGAAUGCACGGGCAGGUCCAUCACAGACCAUCGAAAGAGAGUAUUAAAUUUAACAUCACUCCAUCAAAUUCAAAUCCUUUAGCUAAUUAAUUUACUUCAGAGAUGAAUUCUUGAAGGUACUCUGCUAGGGAUGUAGGUUUACUUGUGCCACAAAAUAAACGUAUUGUCACUGGUUCCUCUUGUUUGAUGUUUUGCAGUGUCCCUAGGAUGGGCCAGAACUGUGAUGCUGAGCUCUUAUAGAGUGGCAAACCAUCAAUGCUGACCUGAAGUUCCAGUGUGUGAAUGUUGCGCAGAAUGUCAACAUUCUGAUGUAGCACCUCUGCAAUUGAAUUCAGCACUCCAAGAUGCAAGGCAUUCGAUUGGCUGGUAGGUGCUGAUGUCGCGCUGCAAGAACAACAUGGCACGGGUUCAAAGCCUUAUUCAACUGAGAAAAUUGAUCAGCGUCAUGGUACAAGCGAAGUCUGAAUGGUUUGUUUCCCUGUUUCUUCUGCCUUGGCUGCACCAGCUGUGGAAACCAGACCUGGUGAGGACCCUCUCCUCCAUCCUCAACUAUUGAACCUCUUAUAUCACUCGGAUGAGGUGUUCUAGAUCCAGACUGGAGCUUGUGUAAAUCCUAGUUACCACGGGAUGAAGAUCCAACAGAAACAGAGAAACACAUAGAGACAUCAUUAGCAUAGCUGGACAGACCAGCCUGUGAUCUCCUAAGACACCCAGAUUCAGCCCUGGUCACGAUCAUUCCCUCACCUGUGUCUCAUCACAGUCCAUCACCAGUGUCUGCACCCUGCAUACUGCCAAUAUUAUGGAUUUCUGUUCUGGAGAGAGAUGCCAUUCACAACAUAAUCUCUACACAAUAUCCAACUCAAAUAAUUUAGUCUUGCCAAACAGUUUCCCUGAUUUGUUACUGUUCACAAUGUAGCAUGGUCUUGCCUACCUUUGUCCAUUCAGUUAUUAAAAUGUUUUUAAUA